GACGAACGCUGGCGGCAUGCCUAAUACAUGCAAGUCGAGCGAACAGAUGAAGUGCUUGCACUUCUGACGUUAGCGGCGAACGGGUGAGUAACACGUAAGGAAUCUACCUAUAAGCGGGGGAUAACAUUCGGAAACGGGUGCUAAUACCGCAUAAUAUCUUCUUCCGCAUGGAAGAAGAUUGAAUGAUGGCUCUGCUUUCCCUUAUAGAUGACCUUGCGGUGCAUUAGUUGGUUGGUGGGGUAACGGCCGACCAAGACGAUGAUGAAUAGCCGACCUGGGAGGGUGAUCGGCCACAUUGGGACUGCGACACGGCCCAAACUCCUACGGGAGGCAGCAGUAGGGAAUCUUCCGCAAUGGGCGAAAGCCUGACGGAGCAAUGCCGCGUGAGUGAAGAAGGCCUUCGGGUCGUAAAACUCUGUAAUAAGAGAAGAACAAAUUGUAGAGUAACUGCUACAGUCUUGACGGUAUCUUAUCAGAAAGCCACGGCUAACUACGUGCCAGCAGCCGCCGUAA
rnacentral:rRNA from 1 species